CCCACACUGCCCUCACACACAUAGAGACCCUCCCUCCCGUCCCGGAGCUCGCUGAAGAGAUCCUCAACCCACCGCCGGAGCCCCACAGGGCCACGCUGCCACACGGACACUAUGGGGACAAGAAAGGCUCGAGCUGCGUAUCCAGAGAGUCUGGACUUCCAGGACCCACAGCAGUUUUGCCAGUGGGAGACUGUCUGAUAUCACAGUGCUACCAAAGCACCAUUACUCCACAGCUGCAGAGCCACAAGAAACAGCUUUAUAUUAAAGGGAACGAUGACAAGAAAACAAAAGCCCUUGGGCAAGGCUCCAGCUCACAUAUCCUGAUCUCUCCCUCAUUCUGCAGCUUUCUGGAGCUGUGGAAUGCAGC
rnacentral:lncRNA from 1 species